rnacentral:rRNA from 1 species
GAUGAACGCUGGCGGCGUGCCUAAUACAUGCAAGUCGAGCGAACAGACGAGGAGCUUGCUCCUCUGACGUUAGCGGCGGACGGGUGAGUAACACGUGGAUAACCUACCUAUAAGACUGGGAUAACUUCGGGAAACCGGAGCUAAUACCGGAUAAUAUAUUGAACCGCAUGGUUCAAUAGUGAAAGACGGUUUUGCUGUCACUUAUAGAUGGAUCCGCGCCGCAUUAGCUAGUUGGUAAGGUAACGGCUUACCAAGGCAACGAUGCGUAGCCGACCUGAGAGGUGGGGCGCCCACACUGGAACGGAGACACGGCCCGGACCCCUACGGGAGGCAGAAGUAGGGAAUCUUCCGCAAUGGGCGAAAGCCGGAGGGAGCAACGCCGCGGGGGUGAUGAAGUUCUUCGGAUCGAAAAACUCUUUUAUUAGGGAAAAAAAAAUGUGUAAGUAAUUAUGCACGUCUUGAGGGUACCUAACCAGAAAGCCACGGCUAACUCCGUC